AUCGUUUGAAUCCAAGAUUGUGUUCCGCAUGUGCAGAGGUGUGGGCCCGCACACAAAAAUGACUAGACGUUCCACCAUAGAGGGCACUUUACAAACAAAGAAUUCGAAAAAGACUCCAGCAUGGGGUCAUCAGUCAAUGUUCCUACUCGCAUAGGAUAGGAGUAUCAUAUCCUUUGAUUUGAUCAACUUGUACUACAAUACUCCUUCCUUCCUCAAUUGUCCGGCAUACUAGCCUCCUUCCACCAAGCCCCAAACACCAUUUUUCAUCUUCUUCCUCCGCAUCUGCGCCUACCCUACUUUCACAUGGAAACUAUAUGUUCUCUCUAAUUUUUUUUGAUCAAAAGGGGUUUCCCCCCGCCCCAUUUUUAUUAAAAACGGAGCAAACGCAAGUCACCAUGACUGUUACAAGCAAUCAGGUCUACCCGAAGUAGCAGACCGGAGAAUAUGAAAAGUAGAACUACGGCCUAAAUGCUCGCAAGCCAAACUGUAUCAAACCUGCCGAAAGGGAGAAAGCAUCUACUGCCAAAAUCCAAAGACAACGUUCUCUCUAUAUAUAAGUGCUCGAGUCGAGCAUCCAUUGCACAAACUGUGAGCCAGGUCGCCAAUCCAAGUAGAAUAGAAACACAGGAAGUAGAAUAGAGACGAACGAUCGAGGAUGGUGAAGAACAACUCCUCUGCGGCCUCGGUUCGGCUGAUGCUGAUCCUCCUCGUUCUGCUGGUUUUCGUUGGUGGCAUCCAGGCAAAUAGUGGGCCGUCCAAAUGCAGCAACCCUGCGGCUCAGCGAGACUGCCCGCGGAUCCCUAAUGGCGGCUCAUAAGCACGAGAUGGACCAUUUCCGCGUAGCAGGAUUCGGUAGGAUCUUGUGUUGGCAGGCGUUGGAAGCUUCCUAUUAUACAUGCGAAAAAAACAAUAUACAUGUUCUUGAGGUGUUGUUGUGUGAUCUGUGAUGUUUGUUCGUAUUGAUAUGUUUGUACUGUGACAUGGUUUACAUAUAAAUAAUAUGGCCUACCCCGUACAUUAAAAAGUACUGUUCAGAUCUAUUACUGGUUGUGGGCCAUGGGCUAAGAAUGAAUUCCCAAGAAAUUUCGUGACUGUUUCAAAUUAUUAGAUAUUUUUGUUUUUGA